CAGCCGCGGUAAUUCCAGCUCCAAUAGCGUAUNUUAAAGUUGCUGCAGUUAAAAAGCUCGUAGUUGAAUUUCGGGACCAUCAUGUCGGUCGUGCCUCGGUACGUACUGGCAUCGUUGGUUUCUCCCUUCUGAAGAACCUUGAUGUCAUUAAUUUGGUGUCUUGGGGAAUCAGGACUGUUACUUUGAAAAAAUUAGAGUGUUUAAAGCAGGCUCGCGCUUGAAUACAUUAGCAUGGAAUAAUGAAAUAGGACGUUUGAUUCUAUUUUGUUGGUUUCUAGGAUCGACGUAAUGAUUAAUAGGGAUAGUUGGGGGCAUUAGUAUUCAAUUGUCAGAGGUGAAAUUCUUGGAUUUAUUGAAGACUAACUACUGCGAAAGCAUUUGCCAAGGAUGUUCUCAUUAAUCAAGAACGAAAGUUAGGGGGAUCGAAGACGAUCAGAUACCGUCGUAGUCUUAACCAUAAACUAUGCCGACUAGGGAUCGGAUGAUGUUAAUUUUUUAAUGACUCAUUCGGCGCCUUACG
rnacentral:rRNA from 1 species